rnacentral:rRNA from 1 species
CAAUACGGAGGAAAGAACCAACAGGGAUUCCCCUAGUAACGGCGAGUGAAGCGGGAACAGCUCAAAUUUGAAAUCUGGCCCUUGGGUCCGAGUUGUAAUUUGCAGAGGAUGCUUUUGGUGCGGUGCCUUCCGAGUUCCCUGGAACGGGACGCCUUAGAGGGUGAGAGCCCCGUACGGUUGGCCACCAAGCCUGUGUAAAGCUCCUUCGACGAGUCGAGUAGUUUGGGAAUGCUGCUCAAAAUGGGAGGUAUAUUUCUUCUAAAGCUAAAUACUGGCCAGAGACCGAUAGCGCACAAGUAGAGUGAUCGAAAGAUGAAAAGCACUUUGAAAAGAGGGUUAAAUAGCACGUGAAAUUGUUGAAAGGGAAGGAUUUAUGACCAGACUUUUUCUAGGGGGAUCAUCCGGUGUUCUCACCGGUGCACUUCCCCUAGUUGAGGCCAGCAUCGGUUUCUGUCGGGGGAUAAAAGCUUCAGGAAUGUGGCUCCCUCCGGGGAGUGUUAUAGCCUGUUGCAUAAUACCCUGACGGGGACCGAGGUUCGCGCAUUGCAAGGAUGCUGGCGUAAUGGUUAUUAAUCACCCGUCUUGAAACACGGACCAAGGAGUCGAACAUUUGUGCGAGUGUUUGGGUGUUAAACCCUCACGCGUAAUGAAAGUGAACGGAGGUGAGAGCCCUUCGGGGUGCAUCAUCGACCGAUCCUGAUGUCUUCGGAUGGAUUUGAGUAAGAGCAUAACUGUUCGGACCCGAAAGAUGGUGAACUAUGCGUGGAUAGGGUGAAGCCAGAGGAAACUCUGGUGGAGGCUCGCAGCGGUUCUGACGUGCAAAUCGAUCGUCAAAUCUGCGCAUGGGGGCGAAAGACUAAUCGAACAUCUAGAGUGU